AGAGACUCAUUCAGAGAGCAAGACUCUGGUCUCUGCCCUGCUUCAGCACCCAAAUCUUUAGGGAGCUGGCUGGUGGGCUGCCAGGCAGUUAGGCCUAUGGAGAGCUGCUGUCAGUCUCUCUAGGAGGCCAUGGUUUCCUGCAUGUGGGGGAGAGCCCCAUCCCCCAGACUCUGGAGUGAGUUUAAUUUCCCAAGGCAAGUCUGCCUGAUUGUCCUCUCCUUUCCUUACCUUCAGCACCAAGAAGUUUCCGGUCCCGGUACAGAUCAGUGAGGAAGAGGCUAUUGACAAGUGUGGAUUUGCCCAGGCCAGACUCUCCUGAGAGGAGAGAGGACAGAGGCACCAAAUCAGAAGGGACCCUUCUCUGGGCUGUCUGAUAGUCUGCAGAGACACAGCUGCUUCCGUGCUCUAGGAGAGAGGGACUCCUUGGAGAUCUGAUCUCACUAGUAGUCGUAAUUCUUUGGAUGGGCUCAGUUUGUACUGCUUCAUCCUUUGGAGAAGGCUCCAGACCCUCCUUUACUCUCCCGAGAUUCUAGAAAUUCUCAGGACUCAUCCAGAGAAGGAAUCAGCCAGAAGAUCCUAUGAAGACAAGAUCAAACCAAACACGCUGUGUUCGCCCCAGUUUUAAUAAGAAAUCUGACUGAAAACAAAUGGUUGAAUGUGCUGCUAACAGAGAGGGCCAAACGAUGAUGUCUAUUGUGGCAGCUGAACAAAGUGAGACUUACAGAACUGGAACUGCUGCCCUGACAGCAACUGAAGCAGAAAGAGAAGAAAGGAGCUUACAACCAGGACACUCAAACU
rnacentral:lncRNA from 1 species